rnacentral:lncRNA from 1 species
UUUUUUUUUGGUUUGUAAUUUUAUUUGAGCACAAGUCUGUAUUAAUUGAUAAGACUCAGAGACAUUUCAUUUGGAUUGUUGUGCGAGAGCUACAAAUAUGCCAAUCGGGCUGAAUGUGCAUUCACCAAUAGUAAUAGUAUAGAUGGACCAUAAGUGGCACGCAUCGGAAAGGGCCAAGAUGCUGGCUAAAAAAGAUGUUGUUGUAGCCAAAAAAAAGUACAACGGCCUGGCUUAUGUAUGUUAGUUGAUAUUAUUGAUCCAUAUACUCUAUAAGUGUUUAUAUGUCUGUUAGUUCUGCACAUUCUUGGUUGAUUGACUCGGUAUUUGAAUCUUGAUACAUCGCUUGUGUACAUAUCUAAAUGGGAGUACACAUUAUGCUGCGUAUGACAUUUGAGUUGGACAUGAAGUGUUCCAAAUAUUCGAAUUCACCUUAAACUAGAUUCUAGCUUCUGAAUUUGAGUAUUGGCAUUUGUAAACCAUAUUCAUAUAUGGCAGUGAAUACAUCUUUGUCGUCCUUUUGAAGAUAUAUAAAAACACACAGAAUGAUUUAUAAAGAUUGAUAUAGGAAUACAAAAUGGAUUCGAAUUUAGUUGCCAGUGUAAACCUGGAUGCUUAUUGUCCCAAAAUUCGAAAGAAGCGGCAAAAUGUCCACUUCCACGUCGGCUGCCGGAAGCCAAGUGUUUGGGAGAUGGAAAUUACUGUCUACCCAUUACACGGAAAAUCCAUCAGCCCGAUUUCCACUGCUCUAAAUAGGGGUAGGUUAGUAACUUCAAUUAGAUGUGACACGACCGCCUCUGAGCCCAUUCAGACACGGUGGGCGUCAAACAUGGGCGUCAAAACACAUUUGAUUCAAGCUCGUCCGAAAGACCUCUAUUUCUCCCUCCAUUCCCCAUUCAUACACGGUGGGCGGCAAAACAAACUCGACUCGGCCGAAAUCGAUGUAGGCAAAUAUUUUCAAUAGGGACAGGUUUGUAACUUCACUCAGACGUGACACAACUGCCCUACAUGUCAGCCCCGUUCAUACACCGUGGGUGCCAACCAUGGGCGCCAACCACCCUCUCCUCGCCCGAAAUUGCUCUGGGCAAAUAUUGGCGAGACGCAAGAUUACCGUCCUAUACCCAACCGACGAGACGUCCAAAUUUUAAACGGGGGCUAAGUUCGUAACUUUCCCAUAUUUCAGACAUGCGCGUCCCAAAAACAUGGUUCCCCGUACCUCUCCCUCCAUUUUCCGAUGCAUACACCGUCCGCGCUAGAACACCCCAUCCCCACACCAGCCUCCAUCCGCCACCCCAUCCAUCGCCACCGUCCUCCACCACAUCCAUCGCCACCGUCCUCCACCAUGCCGGAGCGCCUACCAAGACCGCGUCGUCCACUACUAGAGAUGGACGUUUCUCAUCCACGACGAUGGACCAAUAGCCUUGCAUCGCGUCCUCUCGCCUCAUCGGCACCGUCGUCCUCUUUGCCGGGGCCGCUCACACGACCUUCUUUUCCACCGCAACGGGACUUAUGCCCCGAUGCACCCGUCUACCAUUGCAGAUCUGCGUCAACGCCACCGAUAGCCAUCGCACCCCGAUGCCUACACGGCGCUGCAAGAGAGGUGGUACUUCAUAUCUCCUCAACUUUUUGAUCUCAACCAGAAAAUAGAUCUUAACUUGGUUACUCUACUUUCUUUUCAGCUCUUAGAAUUUAGUUCUUAGUUCGAAGCAAAUAAUGGAUGCUAAAUAUCAUUUCUCUGGUUUGCAGCUUCAAAUCUGCCAUGGCACAACCAUAAUACGGUUUAAUUGAUCAUGCUUAGGGUUUAAUUGAUAAUGUUGGUUCUAUGGUGGUUUCUUUAAUAGAAAUCGUAGGGGAAACCCUCUUUUGCUAAAAAAAUAUGCUUAGAGUUUCCCCCUUUUAUGGUCACUGUACGAUCAUAAUACGUGCUUCAUGUCAUAAUAACACUGCUCCACCCAUCAAGCUAAACAAGCUUAGUUGUUCAAAUACGUAUCUGAUAUUAUUAAAAUAGAGUUGUUUAAUUGCUCAGCUAAAUGUUCCUCAAUUAGUUUCGAAAAUGCAUGUUCGCCGCUCGGGUGUGUAUCUCUACAGGGUGCCCACGGUGGGCCGGGCCACCCUGGGAUUUUGGGUCGUCCCAGGCCUCGAUUCCCCUCUGUUCUGCUACGCGCUUCUGAUCUCUACUCGCCACCAGCCGCCUGCCUCACCGGCGACUUGCCGUCCAUGGAUGGCAUGACUCUAGGAGACGCCAGACUAACAGGAGGCCAGGAGCCGCUCAUCCAACAGCGUCACCGCUGCCCGGGCGCGCCGCCGUGCCUACCUUCCCGGUCCGUUUAGGGCUCAGGUGUGCAGCACCCACCAAGCCAACCCGAUUUAUCCUAAGAUAUGUCCUCAACACUCAGCAGCCACUCCUCAUCACCCAUUUUCUAAUUGAUUCAUUACUCAUUAGGCAUGACUGUCAUUAGGGUUUGUUGUGUGCUUAGUGCUACCUACACUUAAUGGUUCAGAUGUAUUUCGGUAAUCUUUAUUACCUCUAAAUUUCACAUGGUUUUCAAAAUUCCGGCCCUCAAAACAGACACUAGUCAUUUUGGAUUGUUGGUCGUAGUGACAUUGACCCAGAUUACUACUGCAAGCCAUGUUUGUUGACAAUUUUACUUGUCUUUCUUACUCAUUCGAUAUAAUAUCCAAUUAUUCACGUCGAUUAGUUGCAAACAAUAAGUGCUAGACGAACUUCUUCAUUCAGAUUUUGGAUGGUCUCUUACUGCAGUUACAAUUCUGCAUACUUGUCCUAGUAAGCUCAUAAGUAAAUGAUUGAUUCACUACAUCUAUGCUUGUCUUGUCAUAUUUGUUGUCAAUAUUCUUUUAGGGUGGACCACCCUAUUUCUAAAUACUGGAACCGUAGACAUGAGUGAAUAGUAUUUCUCUAUGUGAUCUCUUCCAUCAUGUGUGGGCAACGAACACUGCAUUGUAUAGAAAGAAAGUGUCAUUUCCCACUUUUACAUAGGUUUCGAUCUUUUACAUGGAAUACAAUCUGCCUACUUGCUUUGUGUCGCACUACCAACACUCCUCCCUUGAAGCUAAACAUUAUGCCACUCAUAAUUGCUUAGUUUAUUUGUUCAAAUACGAAUUUCAUAUGAUUCUAAUGUUCCUACUUCAGUUUUGAAAUGUGUGCCUGCCUGUUAUAGAGACAUAAGAGGUUUGUAUUUCUGUGUGUGGUCUGGUCAGCAUGGUUGGGGGGUGAACUUUGCAUAUGCAGGGGUUUAUAGGGAGACACUCUUCGAGUUGAAUCCGCAAUGCAUUCCAUAGAUAAUCUAACUACUUUUUAUGUUUUCGUGAAUCUCAGAUUCUGAACAUCAUCAUAAUGAUUAUGAGGUUGCGUGCAUGAAAAGAAUAAAGUAGAACAAUGCCAUGGCUGUCAAACUUGGCAUUAAGGGACUGAAAUCAAGUCCGGAUGCAAUGCAAUGCAAACGCUCUCCACCUACAGAUUCAUGCUCAGAAUACGAUCCUAACAGUGAUUCUGAGCUAGAGGGAGACCUAAGUCAAUGUAGCUCCCUAGUGGAGGAGUCAGAGGAAGAUGCCUUAUCUUAUUCACCCAUCAAGGUACUUGCUCUAACUUUCCAAGGUUACAUUGCUCGCACAUAUCUUGCAACUGAUGCUUUGCAUUGCUUCUACUUUGUUGAACUACCAUUAGCUUAGUUUACACAUCGUGUAUGUGAAUAUGUCCUACCUAUCCAUUUUUAGUACAUAUUCCAUCUGUCAUCAUACCAUAUUUAUCCAUUCAAAUGUUUUUCUUGUGUAUCAGACAUUCAAAAGGAAGAGGGCGAUUGCUGAUCGUGGAGGAGCACAAGCAAAGUAUUUGGAAAAGGUAGUGGCACCUGAUAAAUCAAAUAGCCCAUUAGGUGUAGUUGCAAUAUCACCUAACCCACAAAACACCCCAACUCUAGCAGACUCUAGCCCUACUACACUGGUCAUUUAUGAUGCCCCAACUCAGGAGACCCCAACUGCAGCAAACAGUAUGAUUAUGCCAGUUGACAUAGCACCAGCUCUACGAUGCAAAACCCCCAUUCCAGCAAAGAGUACACCAAAUACAGUUGCCAAAUCCCUUUUCGAACCAGAGAGAGCCCAAUUGCAGCAAAUAGGACCCCUGUUCCAUUUCUUCCCAGUUUAGAAGACGAAGCUUAUGUUGUUGUCAGGAACUUUGUGCGCAUCUUUCCUUCAUGGAAAGAUUAUACCACAGACACAGAAGAAUUUCCAGUCUUCCUCCGCAACUUAUGCGUAAGUAAUGUACUAAUGUUAUUCAUGGUCAUUACUGCAUAUGUCUCUGCUGACAGAAGACACAAGACUUCAUUAUUUUAAAUAGGCAAGGAGCAAACUGGAUUGUGAAGACGAGCAAGGGUUGGUUGCGCUUUUCAAGCACUCGUUGAUGAAGUAUCGUUCCUACCUUAGGCAAGCGCACUUUGAUGGCAAGCCUCUGAAUGAAAUUUCUAUAAAGUCUCCGGUGCUACAUUUAUCCGACGGUGACUGGAAUAAUCUUGUUACACAUUGGUCUCGGCUGCAGCGUAAGGUACUGUCUAUGAUAUCACAUCAUGAUUUGAACUACAUUUCUGCAUUUGCCUUAAUGUAUCACUUGUACAAAAACUGUUAGCAGAAGAACAUUCGUUCUCAAGGGACCACAAAAUCUCACAACUAUACUGCACACUGCAUUGCUCUUGUGAGUACCUCUUGCCCUGUAUGACCAUACUUACUUCAUAGCUGUUUGAUUAUGUAGCAUCACUGUACAUUUUAGCCUCGUAAUCGUCCAUUUGGUGGACAUUAUAAGAUCCGUAUGGACUCUUAAAUAAAUUUAGAAUCAACCCAAUGCUUUUGAAGAGGUUUAGCUCUGCAGUCCUCUUGUAAGGACUGAACAUGGUCUAUCACUUUACUUACAUUAACAGCUACUCCCUCCGUCCCAUAAUAUAAGAACGUUUUGUACAGUACACCAGUGUUCAAAACACUCUUGUAUUAUGGGAAGAGGGAUUGGUUCAUUGUGUAGCAUUCUGCAUCUUAUCUCCCCCACCCACCAUUUUCUAAAAAAGAUCAGAUAUAUAUUUAAUCUUACCAACAAGUAGAAUACAGACAAUGCCAGUGUAGAAGUGUAGCCCAUUGCUCUUGUCAGUACAUUUUGUCCUAUAACGCUUGUACUUCCAGGGAUUGGUAGUUGAUUAUGUAGCAUCAAUCUGCAUCUUAUCUUCAUUAUUCUCUAUCCUUUCCAGUAUUAUCAUAUCUAUAAUUACUCUCUACAAAAUGUAGAGUACAGGCAAUGCUUAUGAAGAAGAUUUUGUGCUGAAAUUAUUGAGUUAUCCUUCCCUUGACAUGGAGAAGGGCAUUAUAAAGCCGGUGUUAACUGUUAAUGUAAGUCAGUCCUUCUAAAGCCUUUAUCCUCAACUACUGUUUAAUUUGCUCAUACUCCCUAUCAUUUACUGCUGUUUAGUUUGUUGUUUCUAUCGAAAUGCAUGUUCACAAGAACCGUAAGUUCUAAGUUUUACUUGUAAAACCAAAUUCCUUAUUCAUACCAUGCACAUUACUUAAUACUCCCUAUAUGUAUGCUUGUUUUGUGGAUCUAUAAUCCAGUGUGUGGUGAAGCAGCCCACGUUUGCACCUUGUCAUCUCCUAUUUUAUCUUACUGAUGUGGCUGAUGAUAUGAACAACAUGCCAUGCACAUUAUCCAAAAUAGAUACUAUGAUUUUCUUUGCCGUUCAUCUAUGCUUGUUAUGUUGACAUGGUAAUCCAGUAGUGUGGUGAAGCUCCCCGCAUUAUGAACAAUGCCAAAUUAUGCUAUUGAUAUUUUGAACUUACUCUUUAUUUUCUAAUUUGAAAUUGGAUGUAAUUGACAGCACAGUUAUCAUCUUUGUUUAUACACGUGCAAAACCUGCCAUCUCUCUGCUUUGUUUCAGGGUGAUAUGCCUGAUGGCAUGCACAAGUCUGCUGAAGUCUGUGAGACAAACCCAACAUAUAUUGCAGCAAAGAAGGCAAAACAUCUUGAAGAUAGCGAGACAACCCCAAAGUCUUGUCUUGAUGCAGUGUUCAAGUUACUUGAGACUAGCAGUCAGACAAGCUCAUAGAAUUCAUUGUCUGAAUCAGUUCGACUUCUUCAGUCCCAAGUUCUAGCAGAAAGGCAUUCUGUAACUCAACUUCGACUUGAAGUCCUAUCUCUAAGGAAUAUUGUGGAGAACACCAAUGAGAACCUCAUCGCUAAACAACUACACCUGGAAGCUAUGACCGACAUGCUAGGCCGGUCUCAUGGCCUUGCUCAGCAUCUUGCGCAGCAGUUCCCCCGCAAGGCUAACCUUUCUUGAACUGUCUUGGAAGUGGUCUCGGUUCAGUAUUAUUUUGUUACGCUGCAAUGGUGCCCGGUUUUUGUAAUCUUCUUCUUCGUUGCGCUUUAUGAUCACUAGUGGCGAACUUCGAUGCCCAGUGGAUGUAAUAUACCUUAAAUCCUUUAUUGUAUAGUGUAGGUUUAUUCUUAGUUACUAUGCUGUAAUUUAUUUAUUUAUAGAGUAGUUUGUUCUUAAUUCCUACUAGUUACUGCCAUCAUUCGCUAUCUGAAAAAAAAAUCAAAUGUAGUCGACCGGGCCGAAACAUUCGACUCUAACGGGCCUGGCUUUUAGCAGGCCACAAUUGGGCCGGCCUACGUCUUUCUUGGGCCCGAAUGAUUGGGGCCUUCACACAUUGCGUCAUGCCCAAACUUACACCGGCCUAUAUUUUAGUUGGGCCUUUUGUCGACCCAGCGCUUAGUUUGGCCUAGGUAGCAUUGGGCCAUUAACAGGCUGAAUAUUGUACUGGCCUGUUAUGGCCGAGAUGAAACCACGAGCCUUUAGCAGGCCAAAAUGCAUGUUGGGCCUCAAUUUUCACUAGUCGUCGACGGGCCUUCAGCAGGCUGAAAUGUAGACCCGGCCUUUUUGGGCCUAGUUAGCUCACGGGCCGUUACCAGGCCGAAACAUAUCUCGGGCCUUAGUUGGCCCACUGAUAUCAUGGGCCUUUAAGAGGCCGAAAGCUUAGUACAGGCAUCAACGGGGCGAAUUACGCGACAGGCCUUUAACAGGCCCAAAGUCACGUUGGGCUUAACUAUUGCCACCUUUAGCACGGGCCGUUAGUAGGCCCGAUGUCCCGUCGGACCAUAUAUGGCCCAUGGGCAGCAUGGUCCAUUCCCAGGCCGAAAGUCACACCGGGCUGAAAUGGGCCCAUGUCUACAUCAGGCCUCUAACAGGCCGAAAGUCACUGGGCCAUAGUUGGGCCCAAAUAUUCGGCGAACAAUUAACGGGCUAGAUCUGGCUUCGAGCCGCAAAUGGGCCCAAAUAUUGGGUGAACAAUUAACGGGCCAGAUCUGGCUUCGGGCCGUCAAUGGGCCCAAAUUUUGGGCGAACAAGUAACGGGCCAAAUCUGGCUUCGGGCCGUAAAUGGGCCUUUAUUAAGCAGGCUGUUAUUGGGUUGGCCCACUAGUACCUGAUUAAGUACUACGGGCCUUUGACUGGGCUGGCCUUUUUAACCUAUAUGGGCCUCUGUUGGGCCCAGCCACGUGUCGACGUAUCAUAGGCAUGUCUCCUCCAAUGGACGGGCGACAUCUGGCCCAUUGACGAGCUGAUAGGUGUUCCCUUCGUCCAAUCAGAAUUUUACACGUGGAAAUUUCCCAUUGGUUCGGGCUGUUAACGGGUUAUCGGAUCCAAAACCCGGCCCGAUAGCUUAACGGCGUUCCGUUACGGUGGAUGCCACGUGUCGGUCACCCUUGACGAAAGCACUUCUGUGACGUGCGAUUUAUCGUCAUGGAAGUGGACACUUCCGUGAUGAUAAUUUUGGUAAUGUCAUGGAACACUUCUACGACAGCACAGCUAUGACUAUCUUGAUUCUGUCAUAAAAUCGUCAUGGAUGUACAUGCAUGACAAAAAAUGCGACCUACUGUGACAAACACGUAUCAUCACGGAAGUGUAUUUUUUUGUAGUGUAGAUAAGAGUCUUUCCAUCGAGGAAUCGCCGGUGGAGUACCAACACGAGCUCUGGCGUAGCCACUACUAUGAGUACUACAACCUUGAGGCCGGCGCCGAGGACGAGGACGAGGACGUGGUCGACUUCAGCAGGGGGGACACGGAGUCCACCAACGGAGGCAUGUCGCCAAUACAAGUCAUCAAUGUCUCAUCUCACAUCGGCGAUGCAUAGGCUGGCGCGACGAUGGCUUUGUUAAAAUUAUGUGAACUUAAUGCUGGUCUUUUGUUAGAGCAACGUUUAGGUCAACUGGCUCUGUUUAAUUACUAAAAUUGGUCAAUUCAGUAAGUGUGGUCUGUGUGCUGUACGAUCUUUUGUGUGCCCAAACUAGCAAGCGAUGUUAAAUUAUGCAAUGACAUGGAUGAGGACAGUACCCAGGGAAAUUUCCACCAAAAUUUGAAUUUUCGAACUCAUCCCAUGCGCGUAAAGAUAGGAAUCGUUUGUGAUGCACACAAUCAUUCAAAGUGAAUGGUGUCCAGCGGCACUGUGCGUAAAGUUUCCCUCCACAUUUCGAAAUUUUUGUCCUGCCACCGAAAUAUCUACCCGCCCCCUUCCCCACCCCCUUUUCUCCCCAAUCACAAGUCACAUUUUCCCUGUUUCCUCCUUCCGAAGCUAUAGCCGCUUCCUCCCUUGCUUCCCCGCUCUUGUCAUCUCGAAUCCUACCUCCGGGGUCGCCAUGAUCUUCUUUAAUGACCUCUCCAGUGUUUCCUCCGAUGACGAUGACUCUUUCACCAUAGGGGUGUGCCUCUCUUCUCUCUCUCUCGGCUUAUGACUUGGAAUGAAGGAUUUUAAACCGACGGUCGAUUUGAGUCAUUUCUUCCUCUGAUAGCUCCCUAGGACCAUCAGUUACAACGAAUGGAGUGGGGUGGCUGAAGAUCUGCCUACUCAUUGUCACCAUCAAUCUCCAUGCCUGAAGUUAGUUGCGUUUGAAUCUGUGGAUAGUGGGAGGAAGUUUCUGGCAUGUGCAAAGAAGGUUAGCCCCACUUUUGUUGUUACAAAUCAUUUGUUAGAUGCGAUUCAAACAUUGUCACUAUGCUAUGUUAUUCUGUAUGUUAAGACAAUGUCACAGUUUGUACCUAGUAUCUAAAAAUGUUGCCAUCUCAUCAGCGGUGCCAUUAGAAAAUUAUUUGGCACCCCUUCAGCAGUUUGUGCAACCAACUUUGGUCCACACAUCCGAGAAGCCAAGUGUUAGGACCGAUAGUAUAUCGACCAGAGGGGGUGAAUGGGAGAUUCAAAUUUCCUUUCGAAAGCUUUGAAACUUAACCCAAUCACAAGAACGGAAUAGAGUGCCGAAGGAAAUAUAUUGAAUCAAUCUUCUUCGUUAGAAGCAUAUUCUUCGAAAAAAGCAUAGACAACAGUGCGAACUUGAUAGAUCACAGAUUUAACAAUGAUGAGGGUUAUGCAACAAGCAAAUAGAUGUAACAGGAUAAGGCACAACAUGGCGGAGACUGAAUAAAUAGCUACUCAGAAAAUUCACAAGUAAAAUAGAGGUACAGGAUGGUAACGAAUAAAUACAAGUGUUGACAAAGAACAGGGAAGAAUACAGACACAUGGUAUGAUGAAAACUGUACAGACUGAUCAAGAAAUCUACCGGCACAGAGCACGAAUAAGAACUACUGAAGGCAAUGUAGUAGAAUAGAAAUAACCAGUGGUGCUCGAUGGAGAAAAAGAGAUUUGGUAGAACAGUUCAACCUUCUGCCAAAGGGCUAUGUCUGGUUGGAGGGGUUGUGACUUAACACGGAAGAUAAACUCUCUUCACCCUAUUCUCCUUCAACAUAGAGCUGAUUAGACUCGGGUUGAUUUCACUCGUGGUAGACCCUUGUCGGUGAUCUCCAAACCUUCGGUAGACCUUCGCGAACAACAAUCACUCUUGGUUGCUAAAGAUCAGGCUCGGUGAAGACAAUAACUCUUCAUCACUUGAAGCCAAAACCUAUCCAUCUAGAGAGUGUGCAAAUCUCAAGAGUAAUAGGUACAAGAACUCUAGCUUGGAACUGUUGUGAUGCUAAACCACUUUCUAAGUUUUAGCUCUUGGUUUUUCUCUCAGUGGAUUUUGAACUCAAAACACUCGAAGAGGGGUUGCUCAAAUCAAUCUUCUCAGAAAUCUCAAGCGGAGCAGCCAAAGGACAAUGUUGGAGCGGGGUGGCUAUUUAUAGCCGCAGCCUUCCCUGAUGGGAAAUAACCAAAUUAGACAUCGGGCUCAGCCAAUGGCCGAAUGACACGAUUCCAACAGUCGGAUCUGAGCACAACAGUAACAUUUCUUGCGGAGCAAGAAAUGCUUACUCCUUGGUCCGGGGUAAAUCUCUCGCAGUGAAGAAGAUCAUGAUCUCUUGUUGGCAAGUAUUUUCUCGGAGCUCAAAGAUAUUUCUCUCACAACUUUCAUAGGUUUUGGCUAAUCAUCAUAGCGGAUCUAAACAUCGAGAACCUAUACCCCUCUUAAUAGUACAUAGGUCCUAUGACUCAAAUGAAUGAAAGAAGAAAAAGUAAAUGAAUGCUACGUCUUCAUAUAAUCUUCGCUUCCAUCGCUGCAGUCAAUUUCUUCGGAUGACAGUACUGAAUCAAAAUCUUUGCUUCAGUAGUAAACCUUCAAGGGGUCGAUUUCUUCUCACUAAUCUUCUCAACUCUAUCACUUCAACACAUAUAGCUUGUUCUUCUCUACAACGCAGAUAUACUUCAGUGAAGUUCCUCGAACUCAGCACCAGAGACAGCAUAUUCUUUGGUUGUGUAUGGACCUUUUCUCUUUGUAUGCACUAGCAAACAAAUUAGUCCGUACCUGUUUGUGUCAACAAUCUCCAAAGCACAAGGUAAGAAGAUAUUGCACCAACAAUCUCCCACUUUUUGGACGAUUGUUGACAAAACAGAUUAUGUCGAAUGAUAGAUAAGGAAUGAAAUGUAAUGCAAAGAAUAAUGAAAAGGUGAGAGAUAAUUACGAAGAUAAAAUAUUAUCCCCCUAAAGAUAUGCUUGGUUCAUGAAGGAUCGAAGUGAAAAUGAUAUUUGUCUUCAUACGAGUGUCAUUGACCGAAGAUCACACACUUGAGGUAUUUCAAUGCACUCGACGGUGUCUGAGGUAGUUCCCAUCACAAAAUUUUUGACAAGGGUUAGAUGUGAAACAAGCAUUGAGAGAUUUGUGACAACGAUAAGUCAUGAAGGUUUUCUCAUAACACAAUUUGAAUCCACACGAUAUGUAGUUUUACUGCAUGUCAGACAUUCGAGUGUUUCACCACCACAUGCGGUGCGAUAAAGUUCUUGAAGCAAAUUGUUCGAGGGGAAAACCAAAUGGAAAACAAAAACACACACCCUGCAAACCCCAAUAAACAUCGCUCGAUGUAAUUCUGCCCCUUUUUGUCAACAAGUGUCAAAAAGAAACGAGAAGACAUUCGAGGAAUUACCCCGUGGCAGAAUCUUCUGAAUCAGAAUUAAAACCACUCGUAGAAUCGAUGUCAGAAGAAUGCGGAAUGGUCGAGGUGGAAGCAGGAGUAGCAACCUUGUCCUUGGAAGGCUUCGAUGGAUGGACAUCAGGCUUGUAGAUACGAGUACAUGCUGUAUCUGCAAUCUCAUCAUCAUGAUUAACAAACAGCAGUUCGGUGAAGUGGAACACUGUGGGAGUACUGGAGUUUGUCUUUGGAUACGCUGUACUUCAAGCAAGUCCAGAUGAUCAUAUUCCUUGAAGAGGCCCUUCUUGGCUAGAUCUCUGCGAGAGUAAUGCUUCCGCAGAAAGGUCCAUGAUCGCUUUCUUGCAUCCUUCUCAUGCAGAAGAAUUUGGCGAGUAUGAUUAUGAAUCAGAUUCAACUCAGCCAUCAAUUCCACUUUUUCUUUUCUGUCCAUCUUGAUGUCUCUUUCCAAAGUCUACUACGUCUGAAUACAAAUCUCAUAGAUUGAUGGAUUUUCUUCGUGAGGGAUUUCAAUCCUAGCUUCCUUGACCUUCGGUGCAUUUUCAGAUACAGAGCCAUUUGCAGCAGCAUCUACCGAUUCCUUCCCGUUUCUAUUAUUCUUCACAAUGCGCAGAAUGUCACGAACAGGUGGCAUGAACACUUUCGUCUCAUAAGCCCAGAAGAAUUUCCCAUGUGUAAGCUGCUCAAUGGAGAACAUAAUCCAGGGAGCAUAUGGUUUCAGCGAUUGAGGGCUAUCUGAGUCACAUGCCAAGUUCCGAAUGAAAAGGUCAGGAAUGCCAAUCUUGAUUCCCUGAGAUAUUGACACAAGGGCAUUUCCUAUGAUGCCUUUGAUGGAUUUGGACAUGUUUGUUGGUGUGAUGGUAUUGCACAUAAUGUGAAAUAGAACUUUGUUAUUGUAGGCCAAUUUCUUCACAUCAACCUUAAUGCAUUCGUCGCCCACCAUAGUGGGAUCCAUUAGGAUGUGGAGUUGUUCAUCGGACACUUCCCAGGAAUGCAAUAUGUGUUCUCUAUCAUUCUCAAAUUCACAUCGAGGCAAAUUUAUUAGGGCCAGAAAAUGAUUUGCUGAACAUUUGAUUCUCUGCUUGCCAGUCAUCCAUUCAAGCGUCCAGGUUGAGGUAUUGCCCAAAUCUCCUAUGAUGUACAACAUAGCAUAGAACUGAAGAAUAACUUCCUUGUUCCAGCCAUGAUUGAAACGCAUGAAUCCCUUCUGAAGAGCAUUUUCAAUAUGAUCAAGUGUAUUGUGAAAGCAGGGUAUUUCUUCGAGCUUGGUGAAGUUCAACAUCUUAUGAUUGAAAACCCUGUGCUUGCCAAACAAUAUUCGAGCAUAAUAGAUUGCUUGCUCUUCUAUCCAGAACCUGGGGGAUAAUGAAGUCCUCUCUCCUUCAUAUGGGUUAACCCCAAAGAAUGCAAGCUUCGAUGAAUGAAGCUACUCAUUGAAAGAGGGGCCAUUGGAGCCAUACUCGGCUGAAAAUAGUGAAAAUGAUUCCUGAGAAUUUUUCUGUAGUUCUUCCUCGUUAAUUUCCAUUGGCUGAACAUCAUCAGAGGUUGGCGCAUUCUCAUCGAUGGGCUUCAAUUGCGCAAGAUGCUUUGUAGCAUUUUGUGAGGGAGAGGGCAUAGAAUCGCUGGACUGGCCGUCAAUUUUCUACGCUGGAACUCCAUCAGCGGCUUUCUCAGAAUCAGGCACUAGGGCCUUUUCUUUUGGUGAGGUCUCAACUGUGGGUGGCACAACAACUUUCUCAGACUCUUGAGUCACAACUUUAUCUCCUUCAGUCUGCUGAGGCAAUACUGGUGGUACAACUUGGUGUGGCAAAACAUGUGGUGCAACUUCUUGUCCUUUCUCUUCGGGAGCCAUGGACUCUUCAAAUUUCUUCUCUUCCUGCUUUGGCUGUGAAGCCAAAGAGCCAGGAGCAGGGUCAACCUCCAUCGAAGCAGGAGCACCAAAUUAGGAUAUCGUAGGGAUAUUACCUUGGGAAGCGAUUAGCUCACCCUCAACUUUCUCACCCUCCUUGAUUGAUCCAGAGGGUUCAGCUUGUGUUUCCUAUCGGCGUCCUGGAUAUGGGGGUAUCCAACCCUGCCUGCGUACGGCCCACCAUGUGGCUCCAUUGAUGGUCUGGUACGUCCCAGCUUCAGCAUCAACAACUCAAGACCCUCGCGAGGGGCCAAGCCUCGCAAGGCGGACGACGCCAAGACCCCCGAGGGGAUUGGCCUCCUCAGGCUGGCUCCCAAGGGGCAGAGAGUUCUAUGCAAGGUUUACCUCACGAGGCUCAUCUGACGUGAGCCAUGACGACCAAGGCCAGGCGGCGCCAGGCGGCGCCUAGCGGGCGUAGAGCGUAGGUUUCCUCUUCGGUGCAAGGGGGGAAGGCCACAGGCGCGAAGUCUCGAGGAAUCAACCAAAGGUUUCCAUUCUGGUGCAAUAAGACCAAGACUAUAAGGACGGCAGGAUGGAGGUCAUCGACAAGCCCACCGGAGUGUCACGACUAGAGGCUUUUCGCAGGCAAAGGCUGCUUUUGUCAAGAUAAGCUGUACUACUUGUCCCCUUUCAAAUCCGGUCGUUGUGGGAUCUCUUCCUGCCAACAUUUGGGAAGAGGACCAAGGCCACUAUAAAUAGGGAUAGCCACCACCAUAGAGGGGGGAGAGUCGAUCUGAUUCACAUCCACACCAGCUCCCUCGAGCUCAAGAACACCUCACCUCCUGAGGUCAGUUCAUCCAUUGUACUAGUUCAUCCUCAGCCUACAAGGCAAUCAACCACACCACACUGGAUUAGGGUAUUACACCACAACGGUGGCCCAAACUAGUAUAAACUGUUCUAUCUCUUUGUCUCUUUGAGCUUGACAUGCGAGGCUUAGGAGGAUCGCAAGUAGGCAGGCUGGGUAGGUUGAGAUCUCCGCACGCACCCCAGAGUUCGAACCUCUCAAGGGUUUUUGGAACCCAUAAUCCGACAUUUAGCGCGCCAGGUAGGGGUGCGUCAGAAUCUUCUACCCCAGCCGCCGGAUCGCGCCGCUGGCCCUGAUGGUGGGUGCUCCUCCGUCGACCCAGCUGACAUGCGCUCCCGAAGAAGCGUCGGGGCUAUGCUGUUUCACCCCCUCCCUGCGGUAGGUGCAGUGGCCGGCCAAGUUCCGACCGGAGAUGCCACCGCAUUACAACGGCGCGGCGGAUCCGGCCGCCUUUCUUCAGGCAUAUGAGGAAGCAGUCUGGGUGGCCGGUGGAUACGACAAGGUGAAGGCCAACUGGUUCCCCAUGGUUCUCGUAGGCGAACUGCGCGCCUGGCUGCUCAAUCUGCCGACAUCUUCUGUGGCCUCCUGGGAGGAACUGCGGGACCUCUUCUUCGCUCGCUACGCUGCACCAGUGCCCCCUGUCAUCGCGACUCUCCUAGGUGGAUCGCAAGCGCCACCCUCCGACCGCCACAUCAAGCAGUUCUACCGACAAGUAAGCACCACCCAGCAUGGCUCGGGGGCUCCCCUGGGCUGGAUGGCGCCCAAGACCGACCGCACCUUCGGCUUGGAAGACCACCCGGCCGCCACGAUGGGAGCAGGCGCGCUCCCAAUGCUCUACACCCCCACCAUCUGCAACGUGGCAGUCACCAGGACCCUCAUCAACAGCGGAGCCGGCCUCAACGUGCUCUCCACGGAGGCGUUUGGCCUGCUGCACGUGACACCUAGCCGGCUCCGCCCCACCAAGCCAUUCUCCGGGAUCGGCGGCGGCUCCACCAGCCCCCUGGGGUAGAUCCGCCUCCCUGUCACCUUCGGGACCCGCGACAACUACCGCACCGAGCUCAUCAAUUUCGACAUUGCCAGGAUCGACUUGUCGUACAACGCCAUACUGGGGUACCCGGCCUUGGCCCAGUUUAUGGCGGCGAUUCACCAUGCGUACAACCUCAUGAAGAUGCCCAGUAGCAAUGGUGUCCUCACGGUGGCGGGGGACACCAAAGAUGCAUUGCAAGCCCUCAAGCUCGCCUUCAGGACAGCGGCAUGUGCGUUGCCCAACAAGAAGGGGGCCCCGGAGGCCCCAGAAGCGGCACCCGCCAAGAAGAAGCAAUUGUUCUCCCAAGACCGAGCCGAGACGAAGCAAGUUCUGGUUAGUGAGGAGGAAACAGCCAGUCCCACCUUCACCAUAGGGGCUGGCCUCCCUCCUGACCAAGAGAAUGCAUUGGUCAGCUUUCUGCGGGCCAACAAGGAUAUAUUCGCUUGGGAACCCAAACACCUGGCUGGGGUUCCAAGGGGAAUAAUCGAGCACCACCUGAGGGUAUGCCCGAGUGUGCGACCGGUGAAGCAGAAGGCUCGUCGCCAGUCCACCGAGAAGCAAGCCUUUAUCGUCCAAGAAACCCGCAAGCUACAUGUCGCGGGGGUCAUCAGAGAGGUACGAUACCCGGAGUGGCUGGCAAACCCCGUCAUCAUCCCCAAGAAAGGAGGGAAGGAGGGCAUGUGUGUCGACUUCACCAACCUCAACAAGGCCUGCCCGCAGGAUCCCUUCUCGCUCCCUCGCAUUGACUAGAUCAUGGACUCCACCGCCGAAUGCAACCUGGUGUGCUUCUUGGAUGCCUUCUCAGGCUACCAUCAGAUCAAGAUGGUCGUGCAAGAUGUGGAGGAAACGACAUUCCUGACCCCCUGCGGGGUGUACUGCUACACCUGCAUGCCCUUCGGUCUACGCAACGUCGGGCGACCUUCCAACGACUAAUGCAUAUCACCCUGGACUCGCAGCUCGGGAGGAAUGCAGAGGCCUAUGCUGAUGAUAUAGUGGUGAAGUCUCGGGAGGUCGGGACCCUGAUAGUAGAUCUGGAGGAGACGUUUGCUAGCCUGCGCAAGGUGGAUCUUCGGCUUAACCCCGAGAAGUGUGUGUUCGGGGUGCCCUCAAGCAAGCUGCUGGGCUUCUUGGUGUCACACAGAGGGAUCGAGGCCAACCCAGAAAAAGUCAAGGCGAUAGAGGACAUGAGCCCCCCAUAGACCCUGAAGGAAAUGCAGAAGCUGGCGGGCUGCAUAACCUCGCUUGGGUGUUUCAUUUCCAGGCUGGGGGAGCGCGCCCUACCAUUCUUCAACAUGAUGAAAAUGAAGGAGCUGUUAGUGGACCCCGGAGGUGGACGCAGCCUUUCAAGACCUCGACCAGUCAGCCAGUGAUGGUGGCACCGCACCCUCUAGAGCCCCUGGUGCUCUAUCUGGCAGCCACCCCCACUCAGCCAGCGCUGCCCUGGUAGCACUAAGGAGGGAACACUUGUCCAAGAAAACUCGGCAGGAUGCACAACCAUUAAGAAAGGCACAACACACUCAAGAUGAUGCAUUUGGGGCCUCGACCGACCCGGUGGUCGACAUUCCUCUUGAGGCCGUGAUCGACCCCGCAGCCACCGAGGCUCCCAAGGGCGGACCUCAUGAAGCCAUGGAGGACCCGUGCCCCCAUGAAGAAUAAGACUCCGCUGAUGCCUCCCCCUCGUCGAGCACCCUAUCUACUUUGUUAGCACGGUACUGAGGGAGGCCCGGGCAUGCUACCCCAUGCCUCAGAAACUCCUGCUCACGCUCCUGGUCGCCUCUUGGAAACCGUGCCACUACUUUCAAGGCCACCCCAUCAAGGUUGUUUUGGCGUAUCCUCUGGAGAGGGUGCUCUGGAUCCCGAAUGCCGCCGGACGGGUUGCCGAAUGGAACAUCGAGCUUCAGGCGUUCAACCUCGAGUUCGGCACCACCAGGGUCAUCAAGGGUGCGGCUCUUGCGGACUUUGUGGCCGAGUGGACCGAUGCUCCCGACCAUGGAGUAGGCGAGGAUCGCUCCCUCCUACCAGGAGAUGAAGAACCGGAUGGAUGGAUCAUGUACUUUGAUGGGGAGUUUGCACAACAAGGCGCGGGAGCAGGGGCCGUCCUCAUCUCACCCACCAAGGACAAGCUCUACUAUGCGGUGCAACUCUGCUUCCAGCAGGGCGAGAAAGUCUCCAACAACAUUGUGGAAUUUGAAGGCUUGCCCGCCGGGCUCAGGGCCGCGGCAGCGCUGGGGGUGAAGCGCCUAACCAUCAAGGGCGACUCUCAGCUCCUCGUCAACUUCUCCAACAAGGAGUACAUGCCCAAGGAUGAGCACAUGGAGGCGUACCUAGAAGAGGUUUGCAGGAUGGAGAAGUGGUUCAUGGGUGUGGAUCUGCAACACAUGCCACGCGGAACCAACAAGGAAGUGGAUGACAUCACCAAGAGAGCCUACCACAGGCGCCGUCGGGUGCCGGGGGUGUUCGAGGAGCGGCUCUUCAAACCAUCUGCGACUCCCGCGCCACGACUCCAGCAACACCUCAGGAGGACCUGCCUCAGGCACCCCAGACGGGCGCCCCAGCUUGUGGCCACCCCUCGGGGGCCCGCCAGCUGCUUGCGCUCGAGCCUCGGGAGGGGUGUUGGACCGAAGAGUCCAAGGCGUACCUGCUUCAAGGGACCCUUCCAGAGAAGGAGGAGGAGGCUGAGUGUGUGGCCCGUCAGGCUACCGCAUAAUGCAUCCAAGAUGGUGAGGUAUAUCGCAAGAGGCCCAAUGACGUUUCGUUGCGGUGCAUCUCCAGGGAGCAGGGGCUCGAGCUGCUAGGGGACAUACAUGGUGGGGACUGCGGGCAUCAUUCUUCAUCACGCACUUUGGUGGUCACGGCGUUCUGCAUCGGCUUCUACUGGCCUACCGCGCUCAACGACACCGCAGAGCUGGUGCGUUCCUGCGAAGCAUGCCAGUUCCACGCCAAGCAGAUCCAUCAACCCGCGCAGGGCCUCCAAACGAUCCCGCUCACGUGGCCGUUCACGGUCUGGGGGCUGGAUAUCUUGGGGCCGUUCCCUCGAGCGUCGAGGGGCUAUCAAUACCUCUACGUCGCCAUCGACAAGUUCACCAAGUGGGCGGAGGUAGAAGCCAUGCGCACUAUCCCAGCUAGAUCAGCCAUCAAGUUCAUCAAGGGAAUCAUGAGCCAGUUUGGGGUCCCCAACCGCAUCAUCACCGACAAUGGCUUGCAGUUCACCAGCAACCUUUUCAAAACAUAUUGUGCUAACCUUGGAACUCAGAUAUGCUACGCCUCGGUGGCACACCCAUGGAGCAAAGGCGAGGCCGAACGGGCCAAUGCAGAAGUCUUGAGGGGGCUCAAGACCAGGACCUUCAAGAAGAAGCUCGAGGCCUACGGCUGGCUCGACGAGCUGCAGUCCGUGCCAUGGUCCAUCCGCACCACCAUGACAAAGACGACAGGGGAGACGUCGUUCUUCCUCGUCUACGGAGCAGAAGCGGUUCUCCCUCACGAGGUUAAGCAUCACACCAUGCGGGUCCUGGCGUUCGACGAGGCAUGCCAAGACACCACGUGGGGGAUGGAUCUCGUGCUGGGAAAGGAAAUCCGCCGACAAGCCUUGCUCCGGGCGGCAAGGUACCAGCAGGCGCUGUGGCGGUACCACUGCCGCAGCGUCCUCCCCAAAACGUUAGAGGUGGGCGAUCUCGUCCUGAGGCGGGUGCUCUCUAGGGAGGGGCUGCACAAGCUCUCUCCCAUGUGGGAGGGCCCAUUUAGGAUUGCCCAUGAUUCCAGGUCUGCCGCCACGCGCCCGGAGACACAUGACGAGGUCCCCAUCCAGAACGCCUGGAACAUCUAGCACCUCCGGAAGUUCUACCCCUAAAGAAAGGCUCCGUCCUGUGAAGCAAGGCUCCGACCUGUGAAGGUCUCCGCUCGUGACACUCUCACGUAAUAAUGAGUGGGGUUGUUGGUGCCCCGGAGUCUCCUGAGAGUCGCCCUGGGGCCUCAUGGGGGUUCCCUCCCAUGUCUUAGUAGCAGCACUUAGCUCCGUGCUGGUGAGAAGACUAGUUCAGGUGCCGGACGCGGCUGUUCAUUUGCUUUCCGAAGUUGCUUGCAAUUUUUUAGUAACCUUUCAAUGGAUUUGGUAUUUUCAAACUCUGGUCCCUCGAGCUAUUUUCUUCCUGAGCUGUUUUCUGCCUGAGGGCGUGAAGGAGGUGGCAGUCGCCCGCCGCUUCCUAUCGCGCUCCUCACGCGUGGGGCUAGGUAGGUGUGUGCGCCACAUGCUUACCCUUGCACGCACGCACUGCGCCGAACCCUGGUGUUUUGGUCUCAUCCUCACGAGGAGCCCUCGGUCAAGCUCACGGACACCUGCACCCCUCAUGUCUGUGCCUCCCGGGCAGCGCGACGCGGUGCGCCAAGUCUGAGCUAAUCUAUAGCAGGGGGCCCACAUAAGAAGGAGUGAGCCGCUCGACAGUCUUUUCUUUUCCUUUGAGAGCAGCCCUGCAGCGGCUCCGCGGCAGCACUUGAGACCCCACAGCUCCUCGGGAAGGGGGCCUCAUCGAGUACCUGAGGCCAAGUCCUCGCGAGGCGGAAAACUACUACACACAUACCAAGCUAAGUUAUCCUACCCUUGCUUACCCAGAGCACAAACAUUAUGACACAUCAAUAAGAUAACAAGCAUAACAUAAAAGGCAUAACUGCCAUAGUUCAUUACACACCCUAGCAGGGUACACCAUCUUUUCCUCGAAUUAUAGGAGAAAGGAAAAACUAAACAAAGAAGGCCCGAAGGCAUACAAUCUCGGCACCAACACCGCAUCCUCAAGCAGCGCCUCAAGGUGUCGGUCCUAAGUCCAAGUUUGCUGGCCCCCAGCCUCACGCCGGGCUCCUCUCUAGCUUCACUGGGGCGCCACGGCGGGAUGAACCGCCGGCAUCCUUGACACGAGCACAAUGAUGCGGAGGCCGGUCUUAGCCACCACUGCUCGAGCUGUCAUCCGAGGAAGAGUUGCCGUCGUGGGAGGAGGAGCACGCGCCGCCAAGACCAAGCUCGCCAUCGCCACCUUCAUCGUCGUUGCCAUCCUCCAGGCAGCACCCCACACGGCGGCCGUCCUCCCUGAACACCUACACGUAGAGGGUCGCGAGGCUGUCGUACUUGAAGUGAAGAGUGCACCUUCCGCCCAGGCCUCACGCGCGGGCAAAGUUCUGCCAGCCAUGGGUCAGGACCAUGUUACCAGAGGUGGUGACCUCGGCCCCGACCCACCAAGCUCUGCUACAGCACCUGUCAGCCUGCAGCCAGAGGCCAUCAAGCCCCGAAGAAGGAAGCUCACUGGAGAAGAAGCGCGGAAGUCGAAGCGAGGUGCUGGUCGGGCUCUCCGACCACACCACGAAUUCAGGGAGCACGUCCAAUGAGGAGAAGCACGGCCGAGUCGGGCGCACGAUCAUGGCGCACCUCCCUUCGUCAUGGGGGCUGCUCCGAAGGCGGUGGCCCCCGCCGCGGGAAGAGGUGCCAUCGCGGGCGCCAAGAGCAACGCCGCCUCUAGGGGUUGCACGCCCGCGCCCCCUAGAAGCCACCGCAGGAUCCACAGGGUGCUUGCGGGGACGGCCACGGCCCCUCUUAGGAGGCGGAGAGGCUGGACCCUCCUUGGAAGCCUUCCCCUUCUCGGCUGCUGAAAACCUCCUCGGUGACGCCAUGGGAGAAGGAUGGAGAAGAGAGAAGCGGGCGAGAGCAAGACGAAGGAGAGAUGGGCAAGGGGCUCUGCCCCUCCCUCGCAUUUAUAGCCAAGGGAAGCCAACCGCCGGCCUCCACGACCUCGUGCCAUCAUGGCCAUCUGCAUGCCGCAUCAUCCCGUCAAGUCGAACAGUUGCCGAGGCAGCGUGGGGAAGCGGAGUUGCCCACGUCCCAUCAAUCGCCAUGUGUCAUCAAGGCCACAUGCGGUAAGGUACCGCGAUGUUCUGUACUUGCCCUUUGGCAUCGUCUGGAAGAGAAGUUCGAGCGCGCCUUGGGCCCGGGGGCUACUGUCGGCGUCCUGGAUAUGUGGUUAUCUGGCCCUGCCUGCCUAUGGCCCACCACGUGGCUCCAUCGACAGCAUGGUACGGCCCAGCUUCAGCAUCAACAACUCAAGACCCUCGCGAGGGACCAAGCCUCACGAGGCGGACAACGCCAAGACCCCCGAGGGGAUCGGCCUCCUCAGGCUGGCUCCCGAGGGGCGGAGUGUUCUAUGCAAGGUUUACCUCACGAGGCUCAGUUGACAUGAGCCAUGACGACCAAGGCCAGGCGGGCGCCAGGCGGAUGCAGAGCGCAGGUUUCCUCUUUGGUGCAAGGGGGGCAGGCCACAGGCGCGGAGUCUCGAGGAAUCAUCCAAAUGUUUCCAUUCUAGUGCAACAAGACCAAGACUGCCAGGACGGCACGACGGAGGUCAUCGACGAGCCCACCGCAGUGUCAUGACCAGAGGCUUUUUGCCGGUGAAGACUACUUUUGUCAGGAUAAGCUGUAUUAUCCCCUUUCAAAUUCGAUCGUUGUGGGAUCCCUUCCUGCCAACAUUUGGGAAGAGGACCAAGACCACUAUAAAUAGGGCUAGCCACCACCAUAGAGGGGGACAGAUUGAUCUGAUUCACAUCCACACCAGCUCCCUCGAUCUCAAGAACACCUCACCUCCUGAGGCUAGUUCAUCCAUUGUACUAGUUCAUCCUCAGCCUACAAGGCAAUCCACCACACCACACUGGAUUAGGGUAUUACACCACAACGGUGGCCUGAACCAGUAUAAAUUAUUGUGUCUCUUUUUCUAUUUGAGCUUCACGUGCUAGGCUUAGGAGGAUCGCGAGUAGGCAGGCUGGGUAGGUUGAAAUCUCCACACGCACCCCAGAGUUCAAACCUCUCAAGGGUUUAUGGAACCCGUAAUCCGACAUUUCCUUCAAAGGUGAUGAAGUUGCCUAUUCCAUCUCAAUCUCUUCAUCAAUCUUUUCUUCAGCAGCAUUUUGCUUGGGCACAACGUUCACGUCAUCAGGAUUAACAAGCACUAUUGUAGGAUGCUGCUAAUGCGACACUAUGAUAAGAGAACCUUCGACGAAACUGUGAAUGAUGCAAUAAUCGCAAAUGGUGUUGUAAAAAAACCAUCAAAAAGGUGCAAAACAUUUGCAAUGAUGGAUGCAUCAAACACGGUUCAGAUUUUUGUUGUGUGUGCGAUUUAGGGCAUACGAUUCAGUUCAAUUAACUGUUUGCGAUGAUGAGGAGCAAAAGAAACAGGCUGCCAGAUGAAGGCGUGUGCGAUGUAGAGCAUACGGUUCACUCGGAUGAACUGUUUGUGAUGAGGCGGAACAACAGAAAUGGGCAGCCAGAUGAAGGUGUGUGCGAUAUACGGCAUACAAUUCACUUGGAUGAACUGUUUGCGUUGAGCCAAGAGAACAGAAACGGUCCAACUUAACAAGAUGUAUGUGAUACGCGGCAAAUAGGUCUAUAAUCAGAAACGUGUGGGAAGACCGAUAACAACACAGAUGAUUCCUGUUAACAAGCCGUGUGUGUUGUGAGCAAACGAUUGCUGGUAUACAAUUGUCAGUGAUUGAUGAAAUCAUCACCGACGGGUUCCCUUGUUUAGUCUGUGUGCGAUGUGAUUUGCACUGUCUGCAGAGCAUCAACGUAUAUACUUAAAAAGACAGCAUUACAUAACCAAAUUAAGCAUACAAUUACAUAAGUGACUACACACAUAACAUUUUCACACACCAAAGUAAGCAAUUACAUGCAUACUAAACUAGGAGAAACGAGGAUCUAAUCAUCUACUUCUUGUUGUGACGAUGCUUGCCAUUGCUCUGCUUCUGGCUGCAUCCCUAGCCGUUUUGGGGAAGGAGGCACUUCCUCAUGUCAACGAUCCGCCUGUACAUGUCGUAGCACAUGUAUGCCUCCUUGGCCACGUACACGACGUGAGCUUUGUCGAGUUUCUCCAUACAGGCUGAGUGCCAGGCAUGCUUGUCAUGGUUGCAAGAAUCCUUCAUGUCUCUAUAGUAGGGGUCGAUGAUGGCAUCGGCGAGGUGAACUAGUGAGUCCUUCUCAUGCUCCUUGUUGCCCCAGAUCUUGUAUUGGCCCUGGAUGUCGACAAGAUGCUGGCAGGCGAUGCCCGAAUUCUUGAGCACCAUGACAUCGUUGGUGAUGUCCACCGUCGUGAACAUGUAGUGGGGGUUGUUGACAAACCUGGCGAAACACUCGCAAGGCCUUGUGGCCAGGUAGUAGUGGUAGACGAGGAUGUGGUGGCGCACGCACAUUUGGGCAACGACGACCUUGGGACGAGACCUGGACGAGUGCGGGUGUGCUCGAGGUCGAACCCGACCACCUUGUACUUCUCAUCGGCAAGCAACAACACCAUGAUGCAGAUGGAGUGCUCCACCCAGACAUGGUUGUUGGUGUACACCACCGAGAGCUCCGUGAAUCUUCGGUGGGUGUCCACCAUGGCAUGCAUGGUGAACUACUGCUCGUCAUCAGUAGGCGCUCGGAGCGUCAUUGGAGACGUGCAAGAUACUCUCUAAGAAUUUGUCGUGGUGGGUGUGCUUCUUGCAAUGGUGGGGUGCGAUAAAAAGCUUGAAGAGACACAAGGGUUAAAUAGCCACUGUAACAAAUGGGGGCAGCCGGCCUGUAAUCGUCAUGUGUUGUCACGGCGUUCAUAGCGGAGGAUUCCAGUGCAUGCUUGACAACACCGCACCGCAGUGAGGAUUCCAGUGCACGCUUGACAACACCACACCACAGUUUGACCACGCGUGGGCUCGAAGAGGCGCCAAAUGUAUCAUCGAUGAGCCUGUUCCCGCGCUACCACGCAGUUUACUGCGCAAGCUUCCCGCCUGGCUUGGUUUGGUGUGCGUCAGCUAGAAGAUGGACAAAUCGUGGGCGUUUAUUGGCAAAAAGCUUUGUAAAAACAAAGUGUGUGGAAUGACUUCGGUCGUAAGUUUACCCGUGGGUGAUGAGGUCAAAUUUACACAAAAGGGUGAUGAUGGACACUCGAGUGCGAUAAUUAAUUAUGCGGUCUACAUGGAACACGGUGGAAGAAACCAGCUGUGUGCAAUAAUGUCCAAGAUCGUAGUCAAGUUAGCUAUACAGAUCGUGUGCUGUGAGAUUGACAAGGUAAACAGAUUCAAGAAUGGUUAAUAAAAUCAAAUCUAAGACCAUUGCAUAUUAAGGUCAAAAUAGUUCUACCAAUAUACGAGUCUCAUACAAUGCCAUUUCAACGAUUGUAUCACAAAGGCUCGAAAUAUUACAAGGUUCAAAUUUGAAAGUUAUAUGGCUCAAACUAGAAGAUUACACGUUUCAAACUGAUAUUAGAAAUGAAAUUCAGCUCAUCAGCUGCAAACGCUCGCGCUGAUCGACUGAACAUGGAUAUCAGAGAGGUUCAAACUAGUAUUAUCACUUCUAAGUCUGGUUUCGAAACCUCACAACUUUUGCAAAGGGGCCAGCCACUGAGAAGUCAUGUAUGGGGUUGACACGAUGAGUUCCGAUUACUCUGUCAUCUGAAGUUCCAAAAUGAAAUUCAGCAUUUUUGAGCCUAUUCCAUUCUGCUGCAGGCGCCGACGCUGAUCAACAAACCAUUCAUUUUUCCGAAAUAAAUGUAGAGCAAACCUCAUUACCUUCAUCACCCUUUCUCUGACAACAAAGAACCUGGCGAAUAUAAUCUCCGGUAAGGUCCCUCAGUAGGAGUUCAAAGUAAUUUCUGAGAGAUGCAGAUCUAGGCAUUCGACUUGAGUAUCACAUUAUCCACCACUGGGCCUAAUCUUAUCUGCAAAAGAAGAAAACGUGUUAGUGCCUAGAUGCAAUUUUGAACACUACUACAGGCCUAUUUGGUUUGCAGGAUUUUUAAAAUGCACUAGCAUGCCAUUUCGAUCUAACAUGAUUAACAUGGGCAUUAACAUGCCAUCUUCGAUCUUCACAAGAUGUUGGAGUGGAUAAAAAGUUCCCUAAGAAAACUAGUACAGAUGAAUCCAAAGGAGAAAUGCAUAUGGAUUGUAACCAUAUGGAUCAAGCAUUGUCGUUGUAAACUUGGAAAAGGAGACAUGUAUGUACUGAAGUCCUCCAAAAGAAUCCUUCAGAAAUCAUAGUACAUUGUCAUUGUAAACUUGGAAAAAGGUGUCACAAAUUGAACUCCCUUAUGGUUAACAUUUAACAAAAAAGGAACAUCACCUCGAUGUAUAGCUUCUCCAGGCACGGAAAGCAUCUCAGGAAAGUGACAACUUGCUCCAGGUUGGGGCCGAUUGAUUCUAGUGCCAAGACCUUCACUGUGCGUAGUUUCGCGAUUAGGCUUGUCAGAACCAUUUUCUGAAUGAUAGACGAACAAACAUCUUCAAAAUUAGAAAUAAUGUUAAUUUGUGGAAGGAGAGGUAGAAGGCGGCUGUUGUACCUGAACGGGUGUGGAUCCAAUAAGAAGUUCGGAGUAUUUGUCAGAUGAGUAGCCCAGCACUGUCAAUUUCGGUGUAGAAAUGACACUGAUUCUUGUUGGACCUACUUGAUCAAGUACAAGUAAUCUCUCAAGUGUAGGUGUGUCCUCAAUGACCAUACCGUGGUACACAUCUUGUGAUGUCUUCCUGCCGAACCAGCAACACACAUAAAUAGUCCGGAGAGUCAUGGAGGUGAUGUGGAAUGUACUCAACCCAUUGAUCGCCUGAAGACAAAGGUACUCGAGUGCAGUACAGCCAUGGAGCAGGCUCUCCAUGUCACCAUUUGAGAGGCAGACGGCGACGAGCUCGAGGUGAUUCAGUUGUGGUAGAAUAAGAACAGGCGCGUCAUUAAGGGGGGAUGGUAGUUCUUGAAAUUGGUGACGCGCAGCAUGGGUGCGAGGCGGAGCGCGGAUGUUGGCAGCGAGCGCAGAUGGACAUCAUCAAAAGUGAGCUCCUCAAACUUAUCUAGAGCGGGGGAUCCGAACCAGUCGUCAAGCUUGGCUCGGUCCCUGCCAUUGGAACGGAACUUACCCAUUCUAAGGCCUCUAGUUGGGCCAGGGUGACUGCCGAGGAUCUUGGAGAAUGCAUCCAAGCUUUUGCGAUAGCCAUGGUAGAGCUCGUGGGUGUCGAUGACGUCGAGAGGGGUGAAGUUCCAUAGGGGGCGCCACCACCGGGAAAGGAUGGUUGUCCGUGCUCCACAUUUGAUUGGGAGGAGGGAGAUGAUGACUGUGAACAUAUCAUCGGGGAGGCUGCUGAUGAAGUCUAUGCUUGCUGGAGUCGCUUGCGGUUCUAGCUCGCCCCGCCUCCGCUUGUUGGCAGCCCCGUUCUCCACCUCUGGAGUCUCCUUGUCAGUGGCGCUUUCUGAUAGAAAUGAGUGUACAGGGAACAUUUAGUUAAAACAGAGCAAUAGAAAAGUGUAUUGGUAACUAGAAGUUAUUAGGUAGGAAUAUAGUAAGAAAAGGGAAUAACAAUUGGUUGCUUAAAUACUACACAAUUCAUUUAACAUUGCUGGGUAAGUCAACAUGCAGAUAGUUAAAAAGAAAACUUACUUCAAACAAAGUCAGGACGUAUGAUUUUGUCGGGGAAGUUAGCAUAUCUCAUGACCAGGCCCUUUUAUGUGCAGUCCAAUUUUAGUGCCAGCUUUCAGUACAUAAAACUUAGAAAUUUAUUUCCAAAAGCCAGCGCCAAAAUAGGAGUCACCACAUUCAUCAAGUCUUACAGUAGCAACGAUUGUAAAUCCAUGGUUUGUGUGCAGUAUGACAUCCGUGCAGCCUUGAUCUAUGUAAAGGGAAAAAUUGUGCACUACAUAGUUUAUUGCAUAGCACGGGAUGCACUGCAGAAAAUGGUAGGAUUGUUAAAGAAAAUAUGGUAACAUGCAAAUAUGGGCCCAAAUUGAAAGAACUGCACAUCAGUUGAAAUCGAAGGACAAAAAUCUAUAAUUAAACAGAUAGGGUAAACAUGAUGUCAUGGAAAUAUGAGAGUAAUCGAAAGAACAAUACAUCAUUAAUUUGCCUAAUAUAGAAAGAAGAGGGGGAAAAUCCCCUUUGACGUAUAUGAUGCAUGUGGCACCUUUUAUCCAAAUGUAACAUAUUUAGAAUAUCUUCAGGAAAGUAGGCCAUGCCAACCAAUUUAGGGUGAGAAUGAACAUACCGCGCACAUCCUCAAGUCUACUGGUACGGUGAGAUGGAAUCUCUGGCGGAGGUCGCAAGGUCCUGAUGUGUCGGCGCACUGUACACUCUAUGAAUGAAAUAAAACCCUCAAAUCAGCUCGGAUAAAAAUGAAUUCACGGCAAUUUCCGCCGGCUGUUUAAAGGAGGCAGAUGAACUAGGAUGAGAGAUGAGAUAAUAUCUCAUUAAAUUAGUUACCUUGUAUUCCAUGAGAAAAAAACCUCAGUAUGGCAGAUUCCCCAACCAAGCGAAGUUGGGUCGACCACCAGCAGCAUCGAGAAAGUCGAUGGUGAUAGGCGGCGGCUAGCGGAAGUGGUGAAAUACGGUGCGGUUUGCCGGCAGCCUGGCGGCGGCAGGCAUCAAGCUAAGUGGUUACCGCAGCGAUAGGCAGUGCCAUGCAUAGACGUGGAGGAGCUUGUGCAGGUGUGAAUUGGGACCAGAGGCAUGGGGUGGCGGGCGGGGGUGAGGGUUUUUGUGAUGUGGGGAUGGCGAGGGUUUUCUUUUUUCUUUUUUGAAUUGGGUGGUGAGGGUUUUCUGUCCCACAAAGAAUUUCGGAGGCAAUGGUUUGCUAGAGCCAACCAUGUGUGAUUGACACGACAAGCAAAACGAAAGUCAUUACACACGGUUCCAAUUUUGGGAACCGUGUGUGAUUGAACCAGCAGGCAAAACGAAAGUCAUUGCACACCGUUUCAAUUUUGGGAACCGUGUGUGAUUGGCGUACUACCUCCGUCCUGGUUUAUUGGUCCCUUUUGUAAUUUGUACCAAAUUCCGACCAAAUAUUUGACAAAGAAAUGUUUAUGCAUGUCACCAAAAAUUAUAUCAUUGAACACUAUGUUCAAAUACGCAUCCAACGAUAUAAUUUUUGCUGACCUACACUAACAUUUUGUCAGUUAAAUCUUUGGUCAACAUUUAACACAAAUUACAAAGGGGACCAAUAAACGAGGACGAAGGUAGAUUCCAUCAACCGAACUGAUUGCAUCCAUAUCCCAUAGUUAGACAUAUGUAAACAUAGAUUAAACAUACUCAGACAUAGAUAAUACGCGUACACGUACACUGGCAUAGUUCAACCGUCAUUAAGCAUGCUCAAGCGUACAUAGUUCAAUCCCACAUCUCAUCUCACAUGCCGGCACGAUCCUGAAGCUUCUCCAGGUACUCGGCAUACGCGUCGUGCGCCACCCUGCAUGAAUACUUCUGCUUGAAGGAGCUAACAGCCCGUCCUCUUGCAUGCGCCAGAACACUUUGAUACGCAUCAUGAAGCUUGUGGUUACAAAAUGGGCAUCGAUAGCCGCCGUCCCAGGUCCUAAUACGCCUGUUAUGCAUUCCUGCAUAAAGCUCCCUUGGGAUUUUCCUCUUGUUCCUCCUCUGGACAUCUUCAUCCUCGCUGUUCAGAUCGUUAGACAACACCUAUACAAAUAGUAAAAAAAAUGUGGCGUCAAAUUAAUGGUUACAAACUAAUCUCUAGCGAACAUUUGGCAGUUGCCAAAAAUUGGCAUCAAAUCAACUAUUACAUGCCAUGAAGUAGGAUUAGGAAUUUAUGGCUAUUUAUUUAUACAUAUCCAGAGAUCAUGGUUUGAUUUUUAAGCACAUUCAUCUAUGUACAGACCAAUAUUGAAGAAAAUAAUGGCACAAACAUAUGUAGGUCAUUCAACAUCAAUUUUCAAGUCCUGGCUAGGAAUUAUUAGCAUGAACACUAACCCUAGUCGGAUUACUAGCAAAAAUCAUUUCCACAGAUGAAACAACUAAUCACUUAUCACUUGUACCAUUCAAACAAUCAAUACACUACAUGGAUCUAACGAAACUUACUUAGAUUUCAUGGAUUGGGAGAACAUAACCAUAGGAUUUCUAUUCCAAAAAGGGGGAGGCGGGAGGAACCAGAGAAACCCUGGGAUCUAUUUGACACAUAAAUGGGUAUAGAUGACUAACCAGUUGUCCGUCGCCGUCGGAGUCGUCGCCCGAGUCGUCACCAAAGUCGGUGUGGAACUUCGCCUCCAGCUGUGGAAGCUCGAUGCCGUCGACGAUGUCAGGUUGCAGCACUAAUUCGCCGGCGGUGAUGGCAACCUCUGUCUCCAUCUCCACGCCAUGCUCCGGUGCUUUAGCAGCCCCGGCGUCAUCACUCCCUCCGAUGGGGCACUUCGGCGGCAUCCUCAUACACCGACGGCUCUGAUGACUGAGAGCGGCGUCGAGGAUGCAAGCGGAGAGAGGGGAUUGUGUGUGUGGCGAGGAUGGGAGGUGUGGCCGCUCAGGCGCACCAUUAAUAUGGGAGAGCUCUUAAUAUGGAGUAGUGGGACAGAGGCGGGCAGUGGUCAAACUGCUGGCUCGCCUCCCGGUGAGCCUGCGCACCGGACUGCUGGCAUGCCUACCGUCAUUUCACAUAGCUACUCGCAUGCCUCCCGAUGAUGCUGCGCAGCGAGCACGCCUCCGUCAAUUCACACACCUGCACACAUGCCUCCCGGUCUGCCUGCACGGCGGACUGCUCGCAUGUGUCCCGUCAACUCACGCCUGCUUGCACGGUACACGGGUCACGUGGCGGCACGUAUAUUGUUUUUCUAUUUGGAUGAUUAAUGAUGCCGCUUUAUUUUUUGCUUAACCGAAGCAUGACACGUAUCCAUUAUUGGUCUAACACUCACGGUUCAAAUAAAUAGUCAAUUUGGGAUAUUGGUUCCCAAUUAUUAAUAACCUCCCGUUUGUAAUUAGAUAAAGAUUACAUCAAAACUGGUCUCAAAUUUGACCAAAAGAAGUACAAUGCAACUUUGUAUUGGUGUCCAUAUGACAACACGAUAAGUUUCAUGAAUUUUAAAUAAGUUUUGGAUGUACUAGAAUUUAAAAAUCAAGAUUCUCAUUCUUUAAAAUUUGUUGCACGGGGAGUAAACAUGCACCCAGCGAGACACAUGUGUUUUUGCAAUCCAUUUAGGUGGAUUGUCACGUGUGCAUGUAGCUCGAAUUUGAUUUUUGCACAUUAUACCCAUAGAAAAUCAAUCAAUUAAUGUACUAAAACAUCUUAAUGAUCUCUGAUUUUUUUCAAAAUUAAAACGUCUCUCCUUUGGUAACAUAUAUAUGUUCAUCGCGAGAUAAUUAAUUUAACAUCCAUCGUAGUUGCGGUGGAUUCGUGGUGUGUGUGUGGGUGUGUGCGUCUGGGGGUGGCUAGUGGCUCGCAGUACACUACGAGUUGUGAGCCACCAUGUGGGUUGGCCAUUUUGUUAGGCAGGUCGGUGCUACAUCAGAGUCGUGAAUUCGUAAUUUAAAACAUUGCACAACCCUUUCAUACAUACAUGUUUUGGCCACAUGCAGUCAAUGGUUGUCCUACACGACACUCGAUACUCGCCUAUGACGCUUUCUGUGGGCCUGCGAGGUCGUCGUCCAUCAUUUUGAUGAACAGCCGGUAGUAAGGUUAAUUUGACCAGUAAGGUAAAAUCUUUUUUGUUUCUGUUAUGGUGGUAUAUAGUACGGGUCAAACAGGUGGGAGGGGACAUUCUUUGCAGAAUAAUUAUUCUGCACACCACUUCCGCACUGCACGCUGAACGCAAGUGCACGCCAUUCUUUGAACCAAGUGUGCUGCAGUACUCACACGAGUGAACUUCUCGUCGAAAAAAACUGCACGCGUUAUUUUUUCAGUACUGUUUUCGCUCUAAUUUUUUAACCGUUUAUCGGAAUGAGACGUGUAAUAUACCGUUGAAAAGCUAUGAAUUAGGCGCAACUUUGACAUGUUGAACACUUUUCAAGAUUACACACGGUUUAAGAGCAGUUUUGAAAUUCGCGCGUCCUAUGACGAGUGGCAGCGAGUGUUUUUUGGUGAUUUCUUCUAAACCGCUCAUCAGAAUGAAGCAAACGAUACGCCGUUGGAUAGAUAUCGUCGAGGCGCUUCUUUUUCAUAUAUAGAUUUUUCUCUAAUUCGUUACGGUUUAAGAGCAGUUUCAAAUUUACAAAAUCACGGAACUCUGUUUUUCAAUUUUUUUUGAAAUUUUCGGUACUGUUUUUGCUCCAGUUUUUGAACCGUUUGUCGAAACGAAGCGUGUGAUAUGCCGUUGGAAAGCUACAAAUGAAGCGCAACUUUCAUAUGUUGAAAUAUAUUUGAGAUUCCAUACGGUUUUAAGUUAAUUUUGAAAAUCAUGUGGCGGAUGACGAGUGGCAGCGGCUGUUUUUCGCAAAAGUUUUGCAAACCGCUGGUCGGAAUGAUUCAAACGAUACGCCGUUGGAAAGAUAUCAACGAGACGCAACUCUUUCAUGUAGAACACUUUCUCUAAUUCUUUACGGUUUAAGAGGAAUUAUGAAUUUACCGAAAUGCGGACAUUGUUUUUUGCGACACCCAAAUCAACCUGGGUACUUCAUCCGACUGAAAACCGCACUGCAACGGAUGAAAAACCGCACUGCAUCAGACGGGUAAGAGAACUGUAUGGUUUAUUUUAUUCAAACGUAAUAUUUUCAAGGACGAGAAAGUAGAGUGCACUUCACGUCGGGUGUAAGUGAACCGCAACACUAUCGAGAAGUGAACCGCAUUAUUUAUUUUUUGUCAUUCUCGGAACAAUUUUUGCACUUCAGAUUUUGAGAGUAGUGAACCGCAAGACUACCAAAAGUGAAUGGCGACACUACCCAAAAGUGAACCGAAUGAGUUUUUGUUGUCCUUCUAAAAAACUCAUUGAACGAGAAUGGACCACAGAAACUAUUUUUAAGUGCAUUUUUUUCAACUGGAGUGUACUGCAGAGUUAUUUAUAGUGGACUUUUUUAAAACUGGAGUGAUGUGCAUUUCCUUUUUUUAUGAAGGAGGAAACGAGGGGACUACAUUAAGCAAAAUUAUGGUGUACUCAAUGCUCUCGAAGGGGACUGCGUUAAAUUAAUUUUUUGCUUUUUUAUACAACAUGUGGCAAUAUAGUGAACUUCUCACAUAGAGUGAGUUUUACAUGGGCAAAGAAGUGAACCCCAUGGUCGAGAAAAAUAUAGCGCAACACUAGUAGUAAACUGCACUAUUUUUUGCUGCUCCCUAGUUUUGUAUUUCCACUUUUUCAUUUGACGGUCUGAACUCCCAUGAUAAGGCAAGCGAACCACACUUUUUUCUUCUACAACAACAUAGUAAACUUCACAAACAACAAUUCUCCAGCCUUUUUCUUUUUUAACAGUGAGAAACAAAAUUAAUGAAGUGAAGGGCCCGUGAGCCACUAGUAAUGGACUGCAUUAGACAUUUUAUCAAUUUUCUUUUUUCACUGGACCCCUAGUGUUUCAUGGAGUGCACUGCUUUUUCUUUCCCGGCAAAUAUAAGAAUCUCUACGGAGAAUACAUAGACCAAAGAACUACACGGGCCAGUGGGGCGAACCAUACGGAAAUCCAGAUAUUUUUACAAUUAGGGCCAUGUGAAUUUAGCAGGAUCACCCUCCAAAUGAUAAGUGAAAUUACAAUGUAACCCUGCAAUUUUGUUAUUCCUCCACCAAAACUGCAAGCGAGCACCAGCUGUACUCCAUUCCAUGCCGCCACACUACGAGGUUACAAUUUGAUCUCUGUAAAUUAGAGCACACUUAGCAUUCAGAAACAAGAUAUACAUGUAGAUACUAAACCUUUCUUUCUCUUUUCGAUGAUCUUUUCAUCUCCUGCAAAAAAAUAGCAAACUGAACCUCUAAACAGGAAUAUCAAACUGUUGAACCGCAAGAAUAGGAAUAGCAAACUGCGGUUUGUUGGAUUUUUUCCUCCCAAAAAUCAGAAGUGAACUGCAAGAACAAGCUCACCUAUCGCGUGUUUUGCUGGCAGCAAAGUAAGAGGCUAGAGGGGAGGGACAUGCAAAGGGAGAUGUGGUGGUUCUAUGGCCAACUCAGACGGCGUGCAUGGUCAACAGCCAUGGGAGGGGGGCAGAGGAGGCAGACCUGUGUGGCCCCGACC